AUUGAAAAUAUCAUUGAAGCUAUGAAUCAAAAUCAUGUUGCGAUGAAUUAUUACGCUGAUAUGAUUUAUGCGACAUUAAAUGAAGAAGAACAAGAAGAAAUGUUAGAAUUAAGAACAAAGUAUGACAACUAUGUAACUACUUUUAACGAAAAUUUAAAAAAUGCACUUUUAACUAAAUCGCGAAAAUUUUUAAGAAAAAUUUUGUUAGAAUUCAAUUAUGCACAUGAAGAAAAUUUAUGUUGACUAGUGAAACUUUACAGAAUACAGUUUAUCGUUAAAUUUAGCAUUCAAUAGUUGGUCACAUUUCCAGUUGUUUUUGUUUUUCUAUGAAAAAUUGCUAAAUAAAAAUUUAAAAAAAAAACAAAUGACAACAUAUAAAAUUACCAAGACAACGAGGGAAGACCGCGACCAAUUAAACUCUGCAAAGAGUAGAGCAAGUUGCACAUCAAAGUGCACAUCAAGGUGCAGAGCAGAGUGUAGAGCAAGGUGCAGAGCAAAAUGCAGAGCAGACUGCAGUACAGAGUGCAAAGCAGAGUGCAGAGCAGAGAGCAGAACAAAUUGUAAUAGUUUAAUACCAUUUUUUCCAGCACAGUCCAGUGCAGAGUGCAGAGCAAACACCAGAGGAGAGUCUAGAGCACAGCACAGACUGCACAGCACGAUACAGAGCAGAGUGCAGAACAUCUGAUUGCUAAAGUAAGUUUAAAACUCAUAAGUUUCAUCAUCUUAUAGUACUUUAGUUCUAGAACAUGACAUUGCUCUAAGCUUAAAAUUAUGUUUAAAAUGCUAUAAUGGUAGUGCAAAAUUCACUACAGCUUGAAGUAAAUUGACAGUUAGCUACAGUAGAUCCUGCAAAACUAUCAUAGCACAAUUAAAGGCUCUGACCAAAGUCACAUAAUUCAUGACAAAGUUACAGCUCUGAAAUAGCCUAUUAGCUACAGUGAAUUCUGCAACACUAUCAUUGCAUUUUAAACACAAUUUAAAGCUCUCAGCAAAGUCACUUCACAAGGCCAAAUUAGCUUCAAACGGCAGUACUAAAAUUAAAUUUCCACUAUAUGUAGUGUAAAACGCAGGGUGCAAAGCACAGUCCACAACAGACUACAAACCAAAGAGCAGAGCAAACUGAACAUCAGGGUUCACAUCAACGUGCAGAUCAAAGUGAAGAGCAGAGUGCAGAGCAUAGUGGAGAGCAGAAAGCACAAGAAAGUGCACAACAAAACGCAGAGCAUCUCGUCUAACUUGAAAGCACAGUCCAGUGGAAAAUAUAGAGCAGAGACCAAAGCAGAGUGCAGAGCAGAACAUAGAAUGCAGAGCACGAUAUAGAGUAGACUGCAGAACAUCUGAUUGCAAAACAAAGUGCAGUAUAGAGUGCAGACCAGAGAGAAGAACAGAGUGCAGAACAGAGCAUAAAGUGCAGAGCAAGGUGCAGAGCAACGUUUCCUCGUCAUUGGCUGUUUAUCUACUGUCUACGUGAUCAGAUCAUCAGCAGAAAUCAUCACAUCUGAUUUCAAAAGUAAGUGUAAAACUUAAUACAACACACACUACAAAUUGUUACAUAAAUUCACAU